ensembl:snRNA U4 U4 spliceosomal RNA
AGCUUUGAGCAAUGGGAGUAUCAUAGCCAAUGAGGUUUAUCCAAGGCGUGAUUAUUGCUAAUUGAAAACUUUUCCAAAAUUAUUAGUUGUUAUUAGUAAAACAAAAGUGCACUUAUAUCUAUUUUUGGCUUGGUCUAUUUUAAAUGCUUUGGCA